AAAGAGGUGAAAGACCUCUCAUAAAAAGAGAUCAUGAGCAAUGUAGCUUGGAUAGCAUAAGGGAAACAAAAACUAUGGAGCCUAUCAACAAAGCCCGUCUCCGACAGGUGAGCAAGUCAAGCGGGUUGUAACGCAA
rfam:Nitrospinae bacterium RIFCSPLOWO2_02_39_17 rifcsplowo2_02_sub10_scaffold_127, whole genome shotgun sequence.